GAGGCGAAAAAAUUUUGGGCCCAUUUUAUGCAGAAAAUUAUAUUUUUCGGAUGGUUUUCCCUGUAUGCAUGUGUACUCCCCUAGAAUCAGACACUGGCUAAAUUUUUGUUUAAUUUCAAAAUACCCACCAAUAUAUAUAUUUCGAAAAAGAUUUUAUUGUAUUCUCGAAACUACCUUCAUUUAAUUCAGAAAUAUUUGAUGAAAGAGUUUCACACCGAAUCUUAUAUUUGACAUCUCAAAAACGGACCCAUUACAGCGGCACUUAUUUAUUUAUGGAACUUCGAAAUAUAGGAAGCGGAAUUUGAUCCAACCCAUGGGUUGUUUGAUUACUUGUCUUAAUGCGUUAUACAGGGGUCAUGGAAAUAUCGGGCGUCCGUCCUGUCUUGUUAACGCUGUAAUGUGUGUACAAUUCUUGCAAGAUUUGUGUGAAACUUAUAUCAGAAAUGUCUUUGACACUAACUAAAAUAAGUCCUGAUUAAAUAUUUUUAACCAAUUAUGCCCCGUGGAAACAUAAAAUGAUAAUGGAA
rnacentral:lncRNA from 1 species